GACUGGCCAUGGGCCAGUGGCCGAGUGAAUGCUCAGGGCUCUAGCCCACCAAAGCAGCUGCCCUGAGGCAGUGGGGAUUCCACAGGACAAAGGCCAUCCCUCUCUGGCCUAACAGACCAUGAGGAGUCAUAAGUAGCUGAUAUCACAGAUUGGUCAAAUCUGGAGGGCUGCCUUCCUUGAAAUUUCCAUCUUGGGUCCUAGAGCUGGUGAAGAUGGGAUGGAGGUGGAAGUAUCAUUGGCUACUUCCAGGACAGAAGGAAAUUCAGAGCAAGUAAACCAACAGAAAGAGAUUCCAGAAAGCAACAUGCUCCCUGAUGAAAAGGCCAUGGUCAUUGUCUUGCGGGAUUGGCCUGGCCUGGCUCUGACAGUUCUCAGCUGCUCCAUAAAUCUCGCAUCAGUUCCAUCUGGCCAAAAAGAUGUCAUCACCGUUUUCUCAUAGCGACGAAGAGGAAAAGAUCAUGUGCUCUGGGGGGAGCUAGCUGCCACAUUGUGAGGAUGCUCAAGCAGCCCUGUGGUCCCUAUGGCAACUGAUGAAGGCCUCCUACUA
ensembl:lncRNA